UCUGGUGGCAAUAGCGAGCGAGUACCACCUGAUCCCAUCUCGAACUCAGAAGUGAAAACGCUUAGCGCCGAUGAUAGUGUGGGGUCUCCCCAUGUGAAAGUAGGACACUGCCAGAC
rnacentral:rRNA from 1 species